CCUGCGAAGGAUCAUC
rnacentral:rRNA from 1 species